rnacentral:misc_RNA from 1 species
GAUGAAGAACGUAGUGAAAUGCGAUAAGUAAUGUGAAUUGCAGAAUUCAGUGAAUCAUCGAAUCUUUGAACGCACAUUGCGCCCAUUAGUAUUCUAGUGGGCAUGCCUGUUCGAGCGUCAUUAAGUCCACUUAAGCCCAGCUUAGUGUUGGGAGACUGCUCCAGCGGUGCUACCCUGUAGCUACCCUGCAGCUCCUCAAAGACAGCGGCGGAGUUGUGGUAUCCUCUGAGCUUAGUAACUUGUUCUAGCUUUCGAGUACACCACUUCCCCUGCCGUAAAAACCCUUAAUUUUUAAUGGUUGACCUCGGAUCAGGUAGGAAUACCCGCUGAACUUAAGCAUAUCAAUAAGCGGAGGA